rnacentral:lncRNA from 1 species
UUAAGACGAGAAUACUGAAUUCACCAGUCCGAGCCUCCCCCUACACCUAAAUCGCAGAAAAAAAUAUUACAACUUCAGUCGUUGAGAGAUUAAUGAUAGAAACGAAGAGAAACACUUACCGAAACUAAGUGAGCAUUAAUUGCGUGUAAAAAUGAAGGAAAAUAAAUGGAUUAGGGAAAAAUCAAGAAAAAGAAAAAAACGAAAAAAGAUGAAAAUACUCAGAGAAUUUUGGCAAGAGGAGAGGGAGAAGAAUAGAUGGAAAUUUUUUUUUAGAAAAGAGAGUCAAUUCGGUUAUGAGAAAAAAAUAAAAUAAAAUCCCGAUAACCCCCAAAAUCUUUUAAUCUUCUCCCCUAAUUCCCAUUACACAUCCACUACUCAGAAUCCCCC